UAUCAAUAUUCAAUGUUCAAUAACAAUGCACUUCUGUGUUGGUACACUGAUUCUGGUAUCCAAUGAAAAGAACAAAAUAACGUGUCAGUAUGUGUCCUCGCUGCAUCUCUCUCAAGAAAUAUUUCUCAAGAAAUAUUCGUUCAGUUCAUCACUUGAAUAAUUGUCAGUAGAUUAAUUAUCAGUACAUGAUGAUAUGUUGCAAUGAUGCGCACCUCCAGGUAAAAUAUAUUAAAAUAGAUCAUCAUGUACUGAUAAUUAAUCUACUGACAACAACAAAAAGUAAUACAAUAGUAUCUCACACACACAAUGUUUAUCAAUAUACAAAAGGAAUAUGCUGCAAUGAUUCGCGCAUCCUGGUAAAAUAGUUAAAAGUACCGUAAAAUCCCGCCAGAGCGCCCCGUCUCUCCCAUCCGCCCCUCCCUGACUUCUUGUCAGGGACGUGAUUGAUUGUAUCCUCGUAUGACUCUGUUGCAGUCUGUGAUGCCGUACUGCACUGCAGACGCGUGCUCGACCCCGUUGGAAAUGUACGCAACAGUGCCCACCCUCCUGACCAGGGAUCGCACAAACCCUGCGUUUUGUCGGGUCUGUUCGACUCCUGGCUCUUGACCUUUGGUCGGUGUACGAGAUGCACGAACAGUUUUCGUAGGCUGCGCAAGGAAUUCAAACUGACGCACUGUCACUAUCAACGUUAUCAUUGCUGAGAUCAUCACUCGUACACGCAGCUGAUCAAUCACUAUCGGACACACGAGUCGUCACAAUCUGAGUUUGGCUGGGCAUGAUUGGACUCAGUUUCCAGUUGCGAUACGUCACCGGACGUACUUUGCUGUGGUGGUUGCUCUGGCCUACUGUUGAGCGGACUUGCGCAUGUACCUUCGCAGCGGCAGAUGUCAGUGCACGCAAGAGAUGACUUCUUGCAUGAGCAGCGUUGAGUGUCACACACUCCUCGGCACCCGCAGCUGAUGAGGCUCUGAAGUUCUUUUGGCACUGCCUGCUGUUCUGUCCAAUUCACAGCAACUCUGCCUGAAGGAAGAAACAAACAUUGUCACAGACAGUUAAUUUAUUCAUCGCGUAUAUUUUUGCAGUAGACAGUCAUAGAUAUCUGGUUAAAUGGGAAGGGCAGCACUGUAUCCUUUAUCCUUUUAUCUGCUAAUUACAAUUCUUUCAACCUUGCAGUAUGUUUCUCAAUAUCCGCAGACUCCACUGUAGCCUUUGUAGACGCGUACCAUACCAUAAUAAUUACACAAGUGUAAAUUUCCUCACGCAUAACUUGAUCCAAAGUUGGGUACAUUAUCGGUGCUAAUUAUUUAUCGGAACAACUUACCGUCGCUGUCUUGAA